rnacentral:rRNA from 1 species
GUCCAGACUCCUACGGGAGGCAGCAGUGGGGAAUAUUGGGCAAUGGAGGCAACUCCGACCCAGCAACGCCGCGUGAAUGAUGAAGGUCUUCGGAUUGUAAAGUUCUUUUCUAAGGGAAGAAGAGAGUGACGGUACCUUAGGAAUAAGCCUCGGCUAACUACGUGCCAGCAGCCGCGGUAAUACGUAGGAGGCAAGCGUUAUCCGGAAUGACUGGGCGUAAAGGGUGCGUAGGUGGUUCAGCAAGUUAGUAGCGUAACUCCGGGGCUCAACCUCGGCACUACUACUAAAACUGUUGGACUUGAGUGCAGGAGGGGCAACUGGAAUUCCUAGUGUAGCGGUGGAAUGCGUAGAUAUUAGGAGGAACACCAGUGGCGAAGGCGGCUUACUGGACUGUAACUGACGUUGAGGCUCGAAAGCGUGGGGAGCAAACAGGAUUAGAUACCCCCGUA